AACAGUGCAAAAGCCCAACCCAAGGAUUGUGGUUGCUGGGACUUGGAUGAGAAGUUCAGACACUCACCAGCUCUCUGCCUUCUCCACCACGGCCACAGCGGCACCCCAGGAGUCUUUGCUUCAACUGCUCUUCCCACCCUGAGAUGAAUUCAGGGAAAAUCAACAUUUCUCCAGCUUCUUGGUUUUGCUCCAGGGACUUGCAAGAAGAUGACGGCUCCUCUGGAAACCCUUGUAAGAAAUGGCUUCGUCCAAAUAGAUCCCUGAAAUGCAGAGUCAGAGGCUUCGCUAGGCUGGGAUUUAUGCACUUCUCUCUAUUGAGAAAGAAGGUGAAGCCUGAAGAGUUUUUUCCCAUCCAGUUACCUGAGCUGACCCCAGCAUGAGGAGCUGUGUGUUUGCUUCCAGGCUGUUUC